GACAGGCAAGAAUGAUGAAUCAAUUAGAUGUGUGAAGGGAAUUAUUCUUUUGUGAACUCGACUAUUUGAGGCAUAUUAUUUGUCUGACUUGCCAUUA